rnacentral:lncRNA from 1 species
GCUUUGUUUCUUCCAGAUAAUUUUCUUUGGCUAUCUUCUUUCACUCUUAUAAUCCCCUAUUCAUAUCUCAGUUACAGAACUCUUCACAUUGUUUAGCAAGGAUCUGUGUUUUUCAUUCCUCAAACUCAUCAAUGACAGGUGUAUUUACCUAACAUAUAUACCUGGCAGGUAUAUUUCACCUAAUACAAAGCUGAUACCCUAUCAUUUUUAAAACAAAGUCACGAAAACAUUGUAUUGAGUCAGCAUCAUGGAGUAUAGAAUUUUUUGAAAAUUUGCAAAGGUUUAUAUGAGCUUAAGCUUACUAUUCUGUAGUGUUUGAUUAGGAAGGAGGUGCUGUGUAUGAUCUUGUGUUUUCCAGUCACUUGUGCCUCCUGAGACAAUUAUAUUGUUGGGCAAUAUUGCUGUCCUCCAGGGUGGUGCUUGCAGCUGAAAUUUGACACUUACCUACUGUAAGAUUCACUAGUAGCAUAUGCAAAUGUUUGCUUUCAGGUAAACUUAAAGGACCAAUUCUGCUUGUGCUGAAAAACAGCAAUAGAUACUUUCUUCCAGAAGGCAGAGCAAAUCUCCAUGUUGUCGGCCUGUUGGACAGAAUUACCAGAGAUAGGCUUUCCUAAGAUAGGUCAUCCUUAGCAAUUCCUUCUUCUUUCAACCUCUGGAAAAGUGCAAACAACUCAAACACAUUCAAGGAGGAUGCCCCUUUCUGAGACACAUUUAGAAAAACAAAGGCCUCCACAAAACACUUUGAGAAAUGUGUUUUCUCAAACAAUUACUUAUUUUGACUAUGUGGUACUUUCUAGAUGUUUUAUGAUCAAAUGUGAAUGAUUGUUCUUGGAAAAAGUAGCUGUCUGAUGUUUCAAUUUUUUUUUUCCUCCUCUAUACUUAUUUGCUGUGUAGACACAACCUUGGUGAAACCUGUUUGAUUAGGUAACACAAAGGAAAUCUUCAGAUGUGGUGGAGCCCCCACCCAUCCUUACCCAAAUUUCCUAGUGGAAUUUUGGAAAGCAUUGAUGACCUUUCAUAAAUGUACCACGCCUCAAAUUCUUAUUUUUCCAUUCUGUGAGCAGUUUUUUCUUUCUGACCCUGUUCUCCAUCAAAGCAAACCAGACAACUUCAGGUACUUCCCUUAAAUACUUUAGCAGCUGGACUUUAGCACCUAGAUCAGAGUAAGCAAGAUUACCUUUCAUGUGUUCUCAUAAGCCACUGAUUUUGAUUAGUCUGAGGAAAUGUACAAAUGACUUCCAGCUGAAGCAAGCUUCAUCCCUAUCCAACUGGCUCAAGUUGGGGAAAGCUUCCUGUUGGCUCCUUGAACAGACCUACUGCCUUCUGACCAGGUCUUUGUUGGAGUUCAGGGAGUAGUAAUGUGAGGAUACGCCCUUCUUAUUCAACCACCGGAGAGGGGAUUCAGAUAAUUAAGGCCUCUAGUGUCUUUCCAACACUAGACAGAUGCAUUUUCUGUCAUUGUGGAAUAUAAAUAGAGCUGGGAAUGCCUGUAUAACAGGACAUUACAGCUAAUUUUUCCUCUCUGAUGGGUUGCCAGUACUUUGAAAAUAAGUUCCCCUGCUCUUUCACAAAAAAGCAUCCACAAUUCAGUUGAUAUUUGGGUUGAAGAAUCAUAGUGGUCCUCAUUUUACAAAGUCAUUGCUCCUGAUUAAGAGAGCCACAGUAACCUGCCAAAUACCCACCUCCUUCUGCUGCUUUUGGACCUGCAUGUCUCUCCUUCAGCUAAGUCUGGAAAUUUUCUUUUUCACAAUUUUGCCUACAAGAAACUGUAGAGUAACUAUAGACCCAUUCUUUUUAAGGGACUCUUUUGAGUCCCUUUGGGAUUAUUAAGCAGUUAAAAGUCAAACUCUCUGGGUAAUGGAAUUGGGUUGGAAUUGAUCAUAGGAUGCAAUUCUUGGAUAUAGAUGAAAGUAUGACUUCGUUUAAUUUACUACCAUCCCCAGAAGUGUCAGUGUACAGUGGGAAUAAGCAACAUGGUAGUGCAACUAGAAUCAUUACAUGGGAUCCUGAGAAAGCCUCUAAUAUUUUAAUUUGCUUUCGGGCAGUGUCUUAUUUACCCUCAUUGAAUCUCUUCAAUAAGAAUUAGGUAAUCUCAUUUCCCAAGCAGACUGCAUUUUGCUUAUUUAUCUCACUGAAUAUCAUGUGUUGAGUAUUUUCUUGAAUACAGCAAUAAACUUUGGGAAAGCAUCAGUCAAAUUUAUUUGGCAUCAUAUUUACAUUGUUACCUGAUUAGAGUGACUCUAAGUUAUGCAGCAUUUGCAAAUGAAACCCAUGAUGAGUAUAUAAAAGAACCACAGAAUAUUAGAGCAUGGAUGAAAUUUAGAAAUCUAUUGUAACUUCUUCACUUCACUGUCAAGAAAACUGAGUCCCAGGGAAAUAAAUGGACAUACCAAAUAUCUCUGAAGAAAUUAAUGGUGAAGAGAAUGAGAAUAUGCCACUCCAAAAUAUGCCGCUUUGGCAUGUGGUUUAUUUUAAAAUGAAGGCAAUUGAGAACCAACAGAUGCAGAAAGACAGCUUCUUGGAGCUUCCCUUAUCUAACUAAAAAUGAAAAAUUCCAAGAAAUGAGAACUGUGAUAAAUCCUGUCUGUGGGGGAGUUUUAUGGCCGUAAACUCACUGAGAUGGCUUUGCACAGGCAAACCUUAUGAAAAUAACCCUCAUCUUCCAUUAGUUUCCCCAUAUACUUACCUUCUUACCAUCUGCCAGCCUUAGAAAUUCAAUUCCCCAUCCUCUUUCUUUCAUCUGGUUGCUUCUCUAUAAUUUAUCACCCUUUGUUAAAAUGGUAUAUAAGCUUCUGAGUCUAACUGCUUCUUUGGACAUUUACUUCUUCCUGUGAAGCCCUUGUUCAUGUUAAAAUAAUUAUAUCAAUAAAGAAACACAUUCCUUUUCCCUUCUUAAUUGUCUCGUCAGUUUAAUUCGCAGGCCUCAUUCACUAAACUAGGAGGGUAGAGAAAAAGUACUUUCCUCCUAUAUAGUAGAAAAGUUAAGACUAAGACUCCUUGUGUUCAUCUUUUGAUUUUG